UACGGAGGGGGCUAGCGUUGUUCGGAAUUACUGGGCGUAAAGCGCGCGUAGGCGGCUUUGUAAGUUAGAGGUGAAAGCCCGGAGCUCAACUCCGGAACUGCCUUUAAGACUGCAUCGCUAGAAUUGUGGAGAGGUGAGUGGAAUUCCGAGUGUAGAGGUGAAAUUCAUAGAUAUUCGGAAAGAACACCAGUGAGCAGGAGGCACUCACUGGACACAUAUUGACGCUGAGGUGCGAAAGCGUGGGGAGCAAACAG
rnacentral:rRNA from 1 species